GACAGAGGGGGCAAGCGUUGCUCGGAAUCACUGGGCGUAAAGCGCGCGCAGGCGGUCCUUUAAGUCUGAUGUGAAAGCCCUCGGCUCAACCGAGGAAGGUCAUUGGAAACUGGAGGACUUGAGUGCAGAAGAGGAAAGUGGAAUUCCAAGUGUAGCGGUGAAAUGCGUAGAGAUUUGGAGGAACACCAGUGGCGAAGGCGACUUUCUGGUCUGUAACUGACGCUGAGGCGCGAAAGCGUGGGGAGCAAACAGG
rnacentral:rRNA from 1 species